CCCCAGCUCCCAGCUGUAGCUGUCCCCGUUUUUAACUGUGUGUUAAAAACAGACCGCAAUGUGAAAUAAUACUUUACAUAACAAGAAAGAUCAGGCAGCAGAUGCUACUGGUUGACGUCUCAAUCGCGUUGUGCUUGUUUUGUCGAGCAGAGGGGGCUGCUCGCUAUAGCAGCUUCAUUCACUCUUCUUCUACUAACUACUUGCUCGAGCUAGUUUUAGAGAGAACUGCUGUGGAAACUCGGCCAGAAGCUAGUAAGUGUCAAAGUGAAUCCACAACAUCACCACAAACGUCUUUUCAAGCCAGAGUGGAGAUGAAGGAGAAGACUGGAUGAAUGAAUGAGAUAGAGGAAAGAUUGGAGAGGAAGGAGAAGGAAAAAUGAAGGGCGUAAAAAAAGUGAAGCGAGGAGAGUAGAAGAGUGAGGUGGAAAGGUGAAGGAAAG